UGGGGAAUAUUGGACAAUGGAUGCAAGUCUGAACCAGCCAUGCCGCGUGCAGGAAGAAGGCCUUCUGGGUCGUAAACUGCUUUUGCCAGGGGAUAAAAUACCGAUGCGUCGGUAAUUGUAGGUACCUGGUGAAUAAGCCACGGCUAACUACGUGCCAGCAGCCGCGGUAAUACGUAGGUGGCAAGCGUUGUCCGGAUUUACUGGGCGGAAAGCGCGCGCAGGCGGAUUGGUCAGUCCGGGGUGAAAUCUCACGGCUCAACUGUGAGCGGUCCCCGGAUACUGCCAGUCUUGAGGUGUCUAGAGGAGAGCGGAAUUCCCGGUGUAGUGGUGGAAUGCGCAGAUAUCGGGAAGAACACCAGUGGCGAAAGCGGCUCUCUGGGGACCACCUGACGCUGAGGCGCGAAAGCGUGGGGAGCGAA
rnacentral:rRNA from 1 species